AUUGAACGCUGGCGGCAUGCUUUACACAUGCAAGUCGGACGGCAGCACAGAGAAGCUUGCUUCUUGGGUGGCGAGUGGCGAACGGGUGAGUAACAUAUCGGAACGUACCGAGUAAUGGGGGAUAACUAAUCGAAAGAUUAGCUAAUACCGCAUAUUCUCUGAGGAGGAAAGCAGGGGACCUUCGGGCCUUGCGUUAUUCGAGCGGCCGAUAUCUGAUUAGCUAGUUGGUGGGGUAAAGGCCUACCAAGGCGACGAUCAGUAGCGGGUCUGAGAGGAUGAUCCGCCACACUGGGACUGAGACACGGCCCAGACUCCUACGGGAGGCAGCAGUGGGGAAUUUUGGACAAUGGGCGCAAGCCUGAUCCAGCCAUGCCGCGUGUCUGAAGAAGGCCUUCGGGUUGUAAAGGACUUUUGUCAGGGAAGAAAAGGCUGUUGCUAAUAUCGACAGCUGAUGACGGUACCUGAAGAAUAAGCACCGGCUAACUACGUGCCAGCAGCCGCGGUAAUACGUAGGGUGCGAGCGUUAAUCGGAAUUACUGGGCGUAAAGCGAGCGCAGACGGUUACUUAAGCAGGAUGUGAAAUCCCCGGGCUCAACCUGGGAACUGCGUUCUGAACUGGGUGACUAGAGUGUGUCAGAGGGAGGUAGAAUUCCACGUGUAUCAGUGAAAUGCGUAGAGAUGUGGAUGAAUACCGAUGGCUAAGGCAGCCUCCUGGGAUAACACUGACGUUCUGUCUCGAAAGCGUGGGUGCAAACAGGAUUAGUUACCCUAGUGUUGCCAGGUGUGAUCCACAUUGGAUAUCAGCUUAUUGAUACCGUCGAGCCGAGGGGUGCCCCGGUACCUGUUUUUGUUCCCUUAUGGUGGGUUGUUAAGU
rnacentral:rRNA from 1 species